rnacentral:rRNA from 1 species
AUACGUAGGGGACGAGCGUUGUCCGGAAUUACUGGGCGUAAAGGGAGCGUAGGUGGACAGUUAAGUCAGUUGUGAAAGUUUGCGGCUCAACCGUAAAAUUGCAGUUGAUACUGGCUGUCUUGAGUACAGUAGAGGUGGGCGGAAUUCGGGGUGUAGGGGGGAAAUGCUUAGAUAUCACGAAGAACUCCGAUUGCGAAGGCAGCUCACUGGACUGCAACUGACACUGAUGCUCGAAAGUGUGGGUAUCAAACAGGAUUAGAUACCCUGGUAGUCCACACAGUAAACGAUGAAUACUCGCUGUUUGCGAUAUACAGUAAGCGGCCAAGCGAAAGCAUUAAGUAUUCCACCUGGGGAGUACGCCGGCAACGGUGAAACUCAAAGGAAUUGACGGGG